CCCUUAGAUGUUCUGGGCCGCACGCGCGCUACACUGAUGCAUUCAACGAGUCUAAAACCUGCUCUGAUAGGGGUGGGUAAUCUUUUGAAUCUGCAUCGUGACGGGGAUAGAUUAUUGCAAUUAUUAAUCUUCAACGAGGAAUGCCUAGUAGGCGCAAGUCAUCAGCUUGCGUCGAUUACGUCCCUGCCCUUUGUACACACCGCCCGUCGCUCCUACCGAUUGGGUGUGCUGGUGAAAUGUUCGGAUCGGCCGUUUGUCGCGGUUUCCGCGUCAUGUGGCUGAGAAGUUCAUUAAACCCUCCCACCUAGAGGAAGGAGAAGUCGUAACA
rnacentral:rRNA from 1 species